GCCUACGGGGGGCAGCAGUGAGGAAUAUUGGUCAAUGGUCGGGAGACUGAACCAGCCAAGCCGCGUGAGGGAUGAAGGUACAGAGUAUCGUAAACCUCUUUUGUCAGGGAACAAAGGCGGGGACGUGUCCCCGGAUGAGUGUACCUGAAGAAAAAGCAUCGGCUAACUCCGUGCCAGCAGCCGCGGUAAUACGGAGGAUGCGAGCGUUAUCCGGAUUUAUUAGGUUUAAAGGGUGCGCAGGCGGUCUGUUAAGUCAGCGGUCAAAGCCCGGGGCUCAACCCCGGCCCGCCGUUGAAACUGGCAGG
rnacentral:rRNA from 1 species